UACGUAGGGGGCAAGCGUUGGUCCGGAUUCAUUGGGCGUAAAGAGCGUGUAGGCGGCCAGGUAGGUCGGUUGUGAAAACUGGAGGCUCAACCUUCAGAGGUCGACCGAAACCAUCUGGCUAGAGUCCGGGAGAGGAGAGUGGAAUUCCUGGUGUAGCGGUGAAAUGACGCAGAUAUCAGGAAGAACACCCGUGGCGAAAGCGGCUCUCUGGAACGGUACUGACGCUGAGACGCGAAAGCGUGGGGAGCGAACAGG
rnacentral:rRNA from 1 species